UACGAAGGGUGCAAACGUUGCUCGGAAUUAUUGGGCGUAAAGCGCACGUAGGCGGCUUAGCAAGUCGGAAGUGAAAUCCCACGGCUCAACCAUGGAAGUGCUUUCGAAACUGCUGAGCUUGAGUACGAAAGAGGAUCGCGGAAUUCCCGGUGUAGAGGUGAAAUUCGUAGAUAUCCGGAGGAACACCAGUGGCGAAAGCGGCCACCUGGACUGCACCUGACGCUGACACGCGAAAGCUAGGAGAGCGAACGGG
rnacentral:rRNA from 1 species